GAAAUGCGAUAAGUAGUGUGAAUUGCAGAAUUCAGUGAAUCAUCGAAUCUUUGAACGCACAUUGCGCCCCUUGGUAUUCCAUGGGGCAUGCCUGUUCGAGCGUCAUCUACACCCUCAAGCUCUGCUUGGUGUUGGGCGUCUUUGUCCCGCCUCCGCGCGCGGACUCGCCCCAAAUUCAUUGGCAGCGGUCCUUGCCUCCUCUCGCGCAGCACAUUGCGCUUCUCGAGGUGUUGCGGCCCGCGUCCAGAAAGCAAUCGUUACCGUCUUUGACCUCGGAUCAGGUAUAGAUACCUGCUAAACUUAGGC
rnacentral:misc_RNA from 1 species